GAUGAAAGCGGGGGCUUCGCAAGAACCUCGCGCGAUUGGAGCGGCUGAUAUCAGAUUAGCUUGUUGGUGAGGUAAAAGCCCACCAAGGCGACGAUCUGUAGCUGGUCUGAGAGGACGACCAGCCACACUGGAACUGAGACACGGUCCAGACUCCUACGGGAGGCAGCAGUGGGGAAUUUUGGACAAUGGACGCAAGCCUGAUCCAGCAAUGCCGCGUGCAGGAUGAAGGUCUUCGGGUUGUAAACUGCUUUUGUACGGAACGAAACGGCUCUUUCCAAUAAAGGGGGCUAAUGACGGUACCGUAAGAAUAAGCACCGGCUAACUACGUGCCAGCAGCCGCGGUAAUACGUAGGGUGCGAGCGUUAAUCGGAAUUACUGGGCGUAAAGCGUGCGCAGGCGGUUAUAUAAGACAGAUGUGAAAUCCCCGGGCUCAACCUGGGACCUGCAUUUGUGACUGUAUAGCUAGAGUACGGUAGAGGGGGAUGGAAUUCCGCGUGUAGCAGUGAAAUGCGUAGAUAUGCGGAGGAACACCGAUGGCGAAGGCAAUCCCCUGGACCCGUACUGACGCUCAUGCACGAAAGCGUGGGGAGCAAACAGGAUUAGAUACCCUG
rnacentral:rRNA from 1 species